AUUGAACGCUGGCGGCAGGCUUAACACAUGCAAGUCGAACGGUAACAGGCCGCAAGGUGCUGACGAGUGGCGAACGGGUGAGUAAUGCAUCGGAACGUGCCCAGUCGUGGGGGAUAACUGCUCGAAAGAGCAGCUAAUACCGCAUACGAUCUAUGGAUGAAAGCGGGGGACCGUAAGGCCUCGCGCGAUUGGAGCGGCCGAUGUCAGAUUAGGUAGUUGGUGGGGUAAAGGCUCACCAAGCCAACGAUCUGUAGCUGGUCUGAGAGGACGACCAGCCACACUGGGACUGAGACACGGCCCAGACUCCUACGGGAGGCAGCAGUGGGGAAUUUUGGACAAUGGGGGCAACCCUGAUCCAGCAAUGCCGCGUGCAGGAAGAAGGCCUUCGGGUUGUAAACUGCUUUUGUACGGAACGAAACGGUCUGGGUUAAUACCCUGGGCUAAUGACGGUACCGUAAGAAUAAGCACCGGCUAACUAUGUGCCAGCCGCCGCCGUAA
rnacentral:rRNA from 1 species